GGGCCCGCACAAGCGGUGGAGCAUGUGGUUUAAUUCGAUGAUACGCGAGGAACCUUACCAGGGCUUAAAUGUAGUCUGACAGGGGUGGAAACACCCCCUCCUUCGGGCAGAUUACAAGGUGCUGCAUGGUUGUCGUCAGCUCGUGCCGUGAGGUGUCAGGUUAAGUCCUAUAACGAGCGCAACCCCUGCCGUUAGUUGCCAGCAUGUAAUGAUGGGAACUCUAACGGAACUGCCGGUGCAAACCGUGAGGAAGGUGGGGACGACGUCAAAUCAUCAUGCCCCUUAUGUCUUGGGCUUCACGCAUGCUACAAUGGCCGGUACAGAGGGCUGCAAUACCGUAAGGUGGAGCGAA
rnacentral:rRNA from 1 species